rnacentral:rRNA from 1 species
AACGAACGCUGGCGGCAUGCCUAACACAUGCAAGUCGAACGAGACCUUCGGGUCUAGUGGCGCACGGGUGCGUAACGCGUGGGAACCUGCCCUUAGGUUCGGAAUAACUCCCCGAAAGGGGUGCUAAUACCGGAUAAUGUCUUCGGACCAAAGAUUUAUCGCCUUUGGAUGGGCCCGCGUUGGAUUAGCUAGUUGGUAUGGUAAAAGCCUACCAAGGCGACGAUCCAUAGCUGGUCUGAGAGGAUGAUCAGCCACACUGGGACUGAGACACGGCCCAGACUCCUACGGGAGGAAGCAGUGGGGAAUAUUGGACAAUGGGCGAAAGCCUGAUCCAGCAAUGCCGCGUGAGUGAUGAAGGCCUUAGGGUUGUAAAGCUCUUUUACCCGGGAUGAUAAUGACAGUACCGGGAGAAUAAGCUCCGGCUAACUCCGUG